UUCAUUUCUAUAUGUCUACCUCCUCCAUCUUGCAGGGAUGGUUCAGCUGCUCCAGUAGCAACAACAGAACUGCUGUGCAUUACAAUGGAGUGUUUAGUGAAAAGACAAACCUGCUGCCAGCUGAGCCGCUCUACCUGAGCUCUACCUGUCCUUCUCAUGUCCCUUCUGCUGCCGUUGCUGCAAACAGUGCUUUGGGCCCUCACUGCAUCUCCACUGACUGGACUGCAGCAGGGUGUGUGGGGAUGGAUCUGUGCUGGAAGGUCAUGCUGGACAAACUUAUUGCCAUAGAAGACACAUAAUGGACAAGCUCUGUCUGUUUCUCCACCAGCAAGAAUGCUUGAGAAUGAAAUGCCAUGGGAUGAACUGUAGCUGGUGUGGCAUGUGUAUGCAAGCAAGAUGGGGGGAAGGAAGAAAGCAUCUCUGGCCAGAAGAAGGAUACUAUCACUUUGCAUGGGUAAAUUUGUCUUCAGGAAGAGUAAAAGCAGGGAUACUUGGACUUUAGCUUUACCUUGAAGAAGCAGGGAUGAAUGUAUGCUGUUAACAGAGUUACAGUCCAAGUUUCAAAAUCUUGAUUCUUUUCUCUGCAUUAAGUAUAAGUGUUUAGCUGACUUGAACAAACUGAGGCAUUCAGCAGGCCUUCCGUAGUCCCACAGAGCCAGCAGAACUGCCUGGAGAACUGGCCUGGGUGCCAGUGAGCACCUGUAGCAGCUCUGAGCCAUGAGCAUGGCUUACAGCUAUACUGCUGAUAGAGGGUUUUUGUCUAUUUGAGGAUUACUGUUUGCCUCCUUCUAACAGCCAGUGCCUUCUCCAGGGCAUGCAGCACCCAUCUAUCCUACCUCAUGGAUUCUAGAUUAAAACCACCACUCAGUGAGAGUAGAGUCUGAGUGGAGCUAAACACUGCCACUGCACUCCUCACUAAACAUUUUGCUAUUUAGAUACAGAUGGUUUAAAUAUGUUAUCAGAUUUUUUUCAUGACCUUUUUAAAGUAAACAAACGUGGUCCAAAUUUCAAGCUGAAGCAAAACAAGAAAAGUUGAUUGAAACUUACUUUCCUCUCAGAUUUUGCCACUGAAAAAUGAAAAGUAAUUGUUAUGUUUGACCAUGAAAAAACAUUUUCUGACAAAGCGUCAUUCUAUACAGGAAAUGAUUUUUGUCCCAAAAUUCUUG